rnacentral:lncRNA from 1 species
CCCAGCCGUGGCCGCCGCAGCCUUUUAAGGUCUCCAAAUGCAAGGAGCUGGGGCCCCAAUGGGAAGGAGAUGUUGUGUCCCCACUGUCCCCAUGUGGCCUGCCUGCCUCAAGGGCAAUCCAAAGAGCCAAAGAGCAGCCAGGAGGAAAUCCUUGGGUGCCAGGAAUGGGUUCUGCCUUGCCAAAUAGAUGGCAGAGACUCUGAUAUGGGAGCCUGGCUGCAUGGCUGUGUGUCCCUCACUGGAGCCCCAGGACAAUAGGGUACAGGGGCAGGGGCACCUCAGUGGGUCACAUAGCCUCAGCACCUCCCUGGUGCAUGGGGUGUGAGCCAGUGAGCAGGAUUCUAGAGCCUCCGGGAAUGCUCUGGGACCUUGGGCAUGGAUGCAGCUGUGGGCCGUGUGGGUGCUGGUGGAGACACUCAUGCAUGCUUGGUUGCAGAGUUUCCCUGACUUGGGCCAGGAUGGAGUCCUCCCUGCUCCCCUAUUUAUGUGUGUAUUUAAGCAGGUUUGUCCCCCCAGGCCCUCCCCAGAGCUGCUGAACCACAGAUGUCUGGGUCACCACAGUGGACCAGGAUUCCAGGAUGCCUUGGGGUCUACCCAGACUUUGGAGAGAUUUACACAGGGGCCAGCAGAUUUUUUGUCACAUCCACCUCAAAGGGUCCUAGAGGAAUGAGAGCUGCAGAACUCUCGGACCUUUCAAACUGCUCCUAGAGGUGGGCAGAUUUAUGUUAUUAAAGUUUCCUUAUAGACAAAUGUCAAAGCCAUCUAAUUCACAUUUUCAUGUUGGAGCCAGUGAGUGUCCUCGAGGACCCAUAUGCUGCACCCUGGGCAGAUGUAUGAAGAAACUGGAGAUGAGAAUGCCUUGGCUAUUUGUCUUCUGUUAUGGUUUAUAUCUAGAUGCCCACCCCCCAAGCCUCAUGUGCUCAGGCAGACCUUUUGGAAGGUGACUGGAUCAGGCAGGGUACUAUACUUGUAGGUGGAUUAAUCCACUGAUGUGUUUAUAGCUAAACGUGCUGUUAGGAGGUGGGGUCUGGUUGGAAUAAAUAAUAAAUGAAUAUGUUCUUUCAUGAGGACAAAUAUCAUUCUGAGGAGCAAUUGUAAUUACAAAUUUACUUUCAGCUAUUCCAUAUAUUGGUACUACCCUGACUGAAUGAAUCUGAGGAAGGUUUUCAGUAGACAAAGCAACCUUAUCAUGAUUCUUUGCUUUCCACUUUAUUUUAUCAUUUAUCAUUGCAGGUUUAACCAUAAUUCACCUUUCAUUCCUUCGCAAAACUGAAUCAAACAAUCCCUCAGGAAUAAACUUGGAUUCAGAUAAAAUUCCAUUCCACCCAUUUUAUUCAUCAAAGAUAUUUUAGGGCUCCUACUAAUAUUUUUUAACUGUACUAAUUCUUGUUUUGUUUUCACCAGAUCUUUUAGAAGACCCAGAGAAUUAUAUUUACCUAGAUAAAUAUAUACCUACAAACCCCCUUAAUACACUCCCGCAUAUUAAACCAGAAUGAUAUUUCUUAUUCACAUAUGCUAUUCUACAUUCAAUUCUUAAUAAACUAGGAGUAUUAACUCUAGUAUUUUCUUUCUUUCUUUUUUUUUUUGGUACCGGGGAUCGAACUCAGGUCCUUGCUCUUGCGCAGCAGGCUGCGAAACCACUGAGCUAAAUCCCCAGCCAACUCUAGUAUUUUCAAUUCUCAUCCUAGCAAUUAUUCCAGCUCUUCACAUAUCAAAACAACAAAGUAUAACAUUCCGACCCUUUAGCCAAUGUUUAUUCUGAAUUUUAGUAGCUAACCUUCUUGUUCUUACUUAUUUGAAUUGGAGGGCAACCAGUUGAAUACCCAUUUAUUAUAAUUGGAUAACUAAUACCAAUUUUAUAUUUCUAUAUCAUUUUAAUCCUUAUACCUCUUACAAGUAUAGAAAACAAAUUACUCAAAUGAAGAGCCCUUGUAGUAUAGUCAUUACUUUGGUCUUGUAAACUGAAAAUGGAGACCCUGUCUCUCCAGGACAAAAUUCAAAGAAGAAGCACAAAGCUCCACCCAAAGCUGAAAUUCUUAUUAAACU